rnacentral:rRNA from 1 species
GACGAACGCUGGCGGCGUGCUUAACACAUGCAAGUCGAACGGUGAAGCGCCUUCCUUUUUGGUGGGUGUGGAUGAGUGGCGAACGGGUGAGUAACACGUGAGUAACCUGCCCCCUUCUUCUGGAUAACCGCAUGAAAGUGUGGCUAAUACGGGAUAUUCUGUGCCUGCUGCAUGGUGGGUGUGGGAAAGAUUGCGCUUUUUUGGUGUUUUUGGUGGGGGAUGGGCUCGCGGCCUAUCAGCUUGUUGGUGGGGUGAUGGCCUACCAAGGCGGUGACGGGUAGCCGGCCUGAGAGGGUGGACGGUCACACUGGGACUGAGACACGGCCCAGACUCCUACGGGAGGCAGCAGUGGGGAAUAUUGCACAAUGGGCGCAAGCCUGAUGCAGCGACGCCGCGUGAGGGAUGGAGGCCUUCGGGUUGUGAACCUCUUUCGCCAGUGAAGCAGGCCUGCUCCUUUUUUGUGGGUGGGUUGACGGUAGCUGGAUAAGAAGCGCCGGCUAACUACGUGCCAGCAGCCGCGGUAAUACGUAGGGCGCGAGCGUUGUCCGGAAUUAUUGGGCGUAAAGAGCUCGUAGGCGGCUGGUCGCGUCUGUCGUGAAAUCCUCUGGCUUAACUGGGGGCUUGCGGUGGGUACGGGCCGGCUUGAGUGCGGUAGGGGAGACUGGAACUCCUGGUGUAGCGGUGGAAUGCGCAGAUAUCAGGAAGAACACCGGUGGCGAAGGCGGGUCUCUGGGCCGUUACUGACGCUGAGGAGCGAAAGCGUGGGGAGCGAACAGGAUUAGAUACCCUGGUAGUCCACGCCGUAAACGUUGGGCACUAGGUGUGGGGGGCCUUUUCCGGGUUUUCCGCGCCGUAGCUAACGCAUUAAGUGCCCCGCCUGGGGAGUACGGCCGCAAGGCUAAAACUCAAAGGAAUUGACGGGGGCCCGCACAAGCGGCGGAGCAUGCGGAUUAAUUCGAUGCAACGCGAAGAACCUUACCAAGGCUUGACAUGUGCCGGUCGGCUCCGGAGACGGGGUUUCCUCCUUGUGGGGCCGGUUCACAGGUGGUGCAUGGUUGUCGUCAGCUCGUGUCGUGAGAUGUUGGGUUAAGUCCCGCAACGAGCGCAACCCUUGUCUCGUGUUGCCAGCACGUUGUGGUGGGGACUCGCGGGAGACUGCCGGGGUCAACUCGGAGGAAGGUGGGGAUGACGUCAAAUCAUCAUGCCCCUUAUGUCUUGGGCUUCACGCAUGCUACAAUGGCCGGUACAGAGGGCUGCGAUACCGUGAGGUGGAGCGAAUCCCUUAAAGCCGGUCUCAGUUCGGAUCGGUGUCUGCAACUCGACACCGUGAAGUUGGAGUCGCUAGUAAUCGCAGAUCAGCAACGCUGCGGUGAAUACGUUCUCGGGCCU